CUACGGGCGGCUCCAGUAAGGAAUAUUGCGCAAUGGAGGCAACUCUGACGCAGCCAUGCCGCGUGCAGGAAGAAGGCCUUAUGGGUCGUAAACUGCUUUUAUUUAGGAAUAAACCCCCGAACGUGUUCGGGGCUGAAGGUACUAAACGAAUAAGCACCGGCUAACUCCGGGCCAGCAGCCGCGGUAAUACGGAGGGUGCAAGCGUUAUCCGGAUUUAUUGGGUUUAAAGGGUGCGCAGGCGGGCUAUUAAGUCAGUGGUGAAAUCCCGGGGCUCAACUCCGGAACUGCCAUUGAUACUGAUAGUCUUGAGUUUGGUUGAAGUGGGCGGAAUGUAGCAUGUAGCGGUGAAAUGCAUAGAUAUGCUACAGAACACCGAUCGCGAAGGCAGCUCACUAAGCCAAAACUGACGCUCAUGCACGAAAGCGUGGGGAUCAAACAGGAUUAGAUACCCUGGUAGUC
rnacentral:rRNA from 1 species